UAGGGAAUAUUGCUCAAUGGGCGAAAGCCUGAAGCAGCAACGCCGCGUGUGUGAUGAAGGCCUUCGGGUCGUAAAGCACUUUUCUGGGAGAUGAGAAAGGACAGUAUCCCAGGAAUAAGUCUCGGCUAACUACGUGCCAGCAGCCGCGGUAAAACGUAGGAGGCGAGCGUUAUCCGGAUUCACUGGGCGUAAAGCGCGUGCAGGUGGCGCGGUAAGUUGGGCGUGAAAUCUCCCGGCUCAACUGGGAGAGGUCGUCCAAUACUACCGUGCUUGAGAGCAGAAGAGGAAGAUGGAAUUCCCGGUGUAGUGGUGAAAUGCGUAGAUAUCGGGAGGAACACCAGUGGCGAAGGCGAUCUUCUGGUCUGUUUCUGACACUCAGACGCGACAGCUAGGGUAGUAAACGGGAUUAGAGACCCCGGUAAUCCUAGCCGUAAACGAUGUGAACUUGGCGUUGGUGGGUUAAACUCCAUCAGUGCCGUAGCAAACGCGAUAAGUUCACC
rnacentral:rRNA from 1 species